GGUGAACCUGCGGAAGGAUCAUUACACUCAGUAGUUUACUACUGUUAAAGAGGCUGUUAGUCUGUAUAGCUUUACCGCUGAUGAGCAGCUGGCCUCUUUUCUCCACCCUUGUCUUUUGCGCACCCAUGUUUCCUCGGCAGGCUUGCCUGUCGGCUGGACAAUACAACAACCUUUUUAAUUUUCAAUCAGCGUCUGAAAAAAACUUAAUAAUUACAACUUUCAACAACGGAUCUCUUGGUUCUGGCAUCGAUGAAGAACGCAGCGAAAUGCGAUAAGUAGUGUGAAUUGCAGAAUUCAGUGAAUCAUCGAAUCUUUGAACGCACAUUGCGCCCCUUGGUAUUCCAUGGGGCAUGCCUGUUCGAGCGUCAUUUGUACCUUCAAGCUUUGCUUGGUGUUGGGUGUUUGUCCUCCCCUUUUGUGUUUGGACUCGCCUUAAAACAAUUGGCAGCCAGUGUUUUGGUAUAGAAGCGCAGCACAAGUCGCGAUUCUAGCUAAGUAACGCUGACAUCCAGAAGUCUUUUUUAACUUUUGACCUCGGAUCAGGUAGGGAUA
rnacentral:rRNA from 1 species